CCCAGAGGCAGCUGCUUAAAGUUUGCGAUUUAAAUCAUUAAAUGCUUGAUUUAUGGUGCAUGCUUCCAGAGCCUCAGCACUCUUCCAACUCACAUUGCAAUGUAUCCUCCUCCUAAUCAUGUUACUCUUCAAAUAAAUUUGGAUGUCUGUGGGGUUAAAAUAACCCAUCGUCUUCAUUUUCGUACAAAUCGACAAGAUUGUUUUUCUGACAGUCACUGCGGCAGUGCAGAGUGUGACUGGGAACAGCUUUGUUAGCAGGCUGAAGGCAGACUUACAGCUUCAUUGAGGAUUCAGUUGCAUCCCAUUUACAGGAUGAAUAGGAUUCAGUUUCAUCCGAAAGGAGCCUGGGUCAUCCAGACCGCACAGCAGUGAGAACAAAAGCACAGAAAAUGGGAACCAUUGGGAGACUGGCCUCUAAAGCACCUACAACCCUGACUACAUCUGUGAUGGCGACAAGCUCCCAGUGGGUCACAAUAAAUACCCAGUGGCAAUGGAGACAAGUGGGUGGAGUAUAAGAGUGCCUGGAGUUAACAUAAUGAAACUGAAUCCUUUUCUUGAACAAGAAGUGAAAUAAACUUUAAAUCAAAGUCUCCAUUAAGGCCCCUUCUGCAAGAUGCUACUUUCAGUUUCUGAUAAUCAUUAUAAAUGGAGCAGAUUGGAAAAACUCAAAUGGAUCCAAUAUGAAAAGCCUCGCUGCCUCCAGUCACUGCAGGGGGAGAGGAAUGCAGCCCCACUUACCUCCAAACUCAUUUUGGUCUUCCUACACCCCGACAGUAAAAUACAUGUGGAAAACCAGAAAUGCUGUGAGGUGAUGACAAUUACCUGAAGAUAUGAAGAUGAGCAGUGAACAGACCAGAGAAGAGAAGUCAGGUGUGGAUGGCCAGGCCACACCAUACUUCUGUACUCAUUAAGAAAAUAAAUAAACUCUUAGUUGGAUACAUUAAAAAAGAGUUGGUGGUUUCCAGCUGCAACUCACUUUAGUUCUUUAAAAUUAUCCUUGCGUUUCUGUUUAAGAAUUUACCUUGAGGAGGGAUGGGAAUCUGCUGCAUGCUACCAUCUGUCUUUCCUUAGAAAUACAGCACAAUAAAAGUGAGAUUGUCUUGUCUCUUUUAUAAGGUUAGUAAGAAAGCUUUGAUUGCUUCUUCUCUUAUUCACUAGAAAUUUAUAGUAAGAUGUUAUAUUUUCCUUUUGUCUGUUUGCCACAACAUCUGAGCUGUGUGUGAAAGACUGUGCCCUGUGGAUGAGAAGGUGCUUCACAGAGAGCAGCUUCAGUGAGCCAACUUAUUCACCAUGGUUCAAAGAUGGAAACUCCCCUCCAUUCUCAGAAUUUUGGUGCUUUUUGUUAUAUUCUGGGAUACUGUUGUGGUUAUAGCUUACUUCUGCCCCUUCUCCUGAAAUGCCCAAAUUUCUGUGAUGUGAGUUUUGUUCUACUUUUAGGAUGCCAAGUGGAAGAUUAUUCUAUUUCACUUUUGAGUCCUUUCCUGUUAUUACCUCAAACAUCGACAACAAAUUUUUCAGCCUUUCCCUUUUCUGAAGCAGUGGUGACAAAGUUCCUCUUUCUUUCCCCUUCUUCUUUUUCUUUUAAAACACAAAGAAACAAAACAUUCUCCAGAUGUUUUGUGAUCUAAUCCCUUAUUAACUUUGGAAAGAUCCUUUCUACCACAGGGAUCAGAUUCAUUAAUCUAUGGCUUCCUGACUCCUCUCCUACAGUAUUUCCAGGAAUGCAGAUACCUAUUUUGGCAUGGAAUCUGUAUUCCAUGAGCACAAACCUUCAAAUAUAUCUAUUUAC
rnacentral:lncRNA from 1 species